UGGCUUCAUGAGAGAGAGCGGGAGGUUGCUGCUCGGUUGUGAUUAGCUUAACCGCCUCUAGUGUGCGUCUAAAUGUCCCACCCCUCACCUCAGCGCCAGGUGAUCCGGUUUUGUUGUAAACAAUGGCGUCAUUGAUAUUGCUUAUCAAUUUGAGCCCGAUUGAGAAUCAGAGGAUAUUAUUGAAGAGGAUCGUGCAGAACCGGUGCAAGCACUGCUUUUAAUGGGUCAAGGCUUUCCUCACCCACAACAUUUCUCUCCACAUCUCGUGGUUUUGAACUACAUCCAGCGCCAUGCAAGACAACUUCAUCAAAGUGUCGCGGGUCCUAACGUGUCAUCCCGCUGAUCAAAAACAUACAGUUCCAUUUUCACCUCUCGCAACUGAGGAGGAGAAAAAAAAAAUCUUCAAAGGACAGUCAGCUUCUUUCUAGCACGCACGUAACAUGGUUUGUGAUGCUGCCAAUUUCUCUGAUAAUUCUCCUCUGGGGAUGGCGUGAAGAAGAGAGGAUAGGAAGAACGGACGGGAUGGGGAACUAAAAGGAGAGAUGUGCGGAAGAAUGCAACAUUUUGGUGCAAAAAAAUAGGGUACACUAAUCUCAGAAUGAGAGAUCGAGAGAAAGAGGAAGAAAGAAAGGAAGUUCUGCAUUUCACUUUUCCAUUCUCCUAAAUCUUAUUCUGUCGGGGAAUGCUAAUCAGAUCCAUUGGUAUAAAGAAAGGAGUUGAUCACUAUGUGCAGUCAGUAUUUUAGAUGCUUGUCGUGGGAAAAUCCACACAGGAAUCGUCCUGACAUUUUCAUCUGCCCUGC